GAUGAACGCUGGCGGCGUGCCUAAUACAUGCAAGUCGAGCGAACAGAUGAGGAUCUUGCUUCUCUGACGUUAGCGGCGGACGGGUGAGUAACACGUGGAUAACCUACCUAUAAGACUGGGAUAACUUCGGGAAACCGGAGCUAACACCGGAUAAUAUAUUGAACCGCAUGGUUCAAUAGUGAAAGACGGUUUUGCUGUCACUUAUAGAUGGAUCCGCGCCGCAUUAGCUAGUUGGUAAGGUAACGGCUUACCAAGGCAACGAUGCGUAGCCGACCUGAGAGGGUGAUCGGCCACACUGGAACUGAGACACGGUCCAGACUCCUACGGGAGGCAGCAGUAGGGAAUCUUCCGCAAUGGGCGAAAGCCUGACGGAGCAACGCCGCGUGAGUGAUGAAGGUCUUCGGAUCGUAAAACUCUGUUAGUAGGGAGGAACAAAUGUGUAAGUAACUAUGCACGUCUUGACGGUACCUAAUCAGAAAGCCACGGCUAACUACGUG
rnacentral:rRNA from 1 species